rnacentral:lncRNA from 1 species
AAUGACAAUUCUAAUAUGACGUCCUUAUUAUGCUUUGUAAACAAAGCCGUGUUCUAAUGAGCACAAAAUAUGUUUGACACAUGCGCACGAACUUACUGUUUAUAUUAACGUUAUUUCCAUCGUUAUCCUUUAAAAUAUAUACAUUUAAGCAGUUAACAUAAACUUUUAUUAUAUUUUUUUAUGAAACAACAUAUAUUUACCCUGCUCGUAGCUUUUAAACUUAUCAAAUAUGAAAUACAAUGCACAGACUCCUCCAGGAGGAAACGGGAACA